rnacentral:rRNA from 1 species
UUAACACAUGCAAGUCGAACGGUAAGGCCUCUUCGGGGGUACACGAGUGGCGAACGGGUGAGUAACACGUGAGUAACCUGCCCUUGACUUUGGGAUAACAUCUGGAAACAGGUGCUAAUACCGGAUAUGAGCUUGUCCUGCAUGGGAUGGGUUGGAAAGCUCCGGCGGUCAUGGAUGGACUCGCGGCCUAUCAGCUUGUUGGUGAGGUAAUGGCUCACCAAGGCUUCGACGGGUAGCCGGCCUGAGAGGGCGACCGGCCACAUUGGGACUGAGAUACGGCCCAAACUCCUACGGGAGGCAGCAGUGGGGAAUAUUGCACAAUGGGCGGAAGUGAUGCAGCAACGCCGCGUGCGGGAUGACGGCCUUCGGGUUGUAAACCGCUUUCAGCAGGGACGAAGCGUGAGUGACGGUACCUGCAGAAGAAGCACCGGCUAACUACGUGCCAGCAGCCGCGGUGAUACGUAGGGUGCGAGCCGUUGUCCGGAUUUAUUUGGGGCGUAAAGACCUUGUUAGGCCGGUUUGUCGCCGUCGGGAGUAAAAAACUCAGGGCUUAACCCUGAGCCUUGCUUCCGAUACGNCAGACUUGAGGAAGGUAAGGGAGAUUGGAUUCCUGUCGAGCCGUGGAUGCCGUAGAUAUUCCAGAGAACACCAUUGCCAGGCGUUCUCUGACUUUCCUGAACGCUAAAGCGAAAGCUGGGGAGCAAACAGCUAGAUACCCUGGUAGUCCACGCGUAAACGGUGGGUACUAGGUGUGGGGACAUUCCACGUUCUCCGUGCCGCCAGCUAACGCGUGAAGUACCCCGCCUGGGAGUACGGCGCAAGGCUAAGACUGAAAGGAAUUGACGGGCCCCGCACAAGCGGCGGAGCAUGCGGAUUAAUUCGAUGCAACGCGAAGAACCUUACCUGGGUUUGACAUAUGCCGGAAACAUCCAGAGAUGGAUGCCCCUUUUUGGUCGGUUUACAGGUGGUGCAUGGCUGUCGUCAGCUCGUGUCGUGAGAUGUUGGGUUAAGUCCCGCAACGAGCGCAACCCUCGUCCUAUGUUGCCAGCGGGUAAUGCCGGGGACUCAUAGGAGACCGCCGGGGUCAACUCGGAGGAAGGUGGGGAUGACGUCAAGUCAUCAUGCCCCUUAUGUCCAGGGCUUCACGCAUGCUACAAUGGCCGGUACAAAGAGCUGCGAGCCUGUAAGGGUGAGCGAAUCUCAAAAAGCCGGUCUCAGUUCGGAUUGGGGUCUGCAACUCGACCCCAUGAAGUCGGAGUCGCUAGUAAUCGCAGAUCAGCAACGCUGCGGUGAAUACGUUCCCGGGGCUUGUACACACCGCCCGUCAAGUCAUGAAAGUCGUAACACCCGAACCGUGCCUAACCCUUGUGGAGGGAGCCGUCGAAGGUGGGACCGGUAAUUAGGACUAAGUCGUAACAAG